rnacentral:rRNA from 1 species
GACGAACGCUUGCGGCGUGCUUAACACAUGCAAGUCGAACGGAAAGGCCCUGCUUUUGUGGGGUGCUCGAGUGGCGAACGGGUGAGUAACACGUGAGUAACCUGCCCUUGACUUUGGGAUAACUUCAGGAAACUGGGGCUAAUACCGGAUAGGAGCUCCUGCUGCAUGGUGGGGGUUGGAAAGUUUCGGCGGUUGGGGAUGGACUCGCGGCUUAUCAGCUUGUUGGUGGGGUAGUGGCUUACCAAGGCUUUGACGGGUAGCCGGCCUGAGAGGGUGACCGGCCACAUUGGGACUGAGAUACGGCCCAGACUCCUACGGGAGGCAGCAGUGGGGAAUAUUGCACAAUGGGCGGAAGCCUGAUGCAGCAACGCCGCGUGCGGGAUGACGGCCUUCGGGUUGUAAACCGCUUUCGCCUGUGACGAAGCGUGAGUGACGGUAAUGGGUAAAGAAGCACCGGCUAACUACGUGCCAGCAGCCGCGGUGAUACGUAGGGUGCGAGCGUUGUCCGGAUUUAUUGGGCGUAAAGGGCUCGUAGGUGGUUGAUCGCGUCGGAAGUGUAAUCUUGGGGCUUAACCCUGAGCGUGCCUUCGAUACGGGUUGACUUGAGGAAGGUAGGGGAGAAUGGAAUUCCUGGUGGAGCGGUGGAAUGCGCAGAUAUCAGGAGGAACACCAGUGGCGAAGGCGGUUCUCUGGGCCUUUCCUGACGCUGAGGAGCGAAAGCGUGGGGAGCGAACAGGCUUAGAUACCCUGGUAGUCCACGCUGUAAACGGUGGGUACUAGGUGUGGGGUCCAUUCCACGGGUUCCGUGCCGUAGCUAACGCUUUAAGUACCCCGCCUGGGGAGUACGGCCGCAAGGCUAAAACUCAAAGGAAUUGACGGGGCCCCGCACAAGCGGCGGAGCAUGCGGAUUAAUUCGAUGCAACGCGUAGAACCUUACCUGGGUUUGACAUGGAUCGGGAGCGCUCAGAGAUGGGUGUGCCUCUUUUGGGGUCGGUUCACAGGUGGUGCAUGGCUGUCGUCAGCUCGUGUCGUGAGAUGUUGGGUUAAGUCCCGCAACGAGCGCAACCCUUGUUCACUGUUGCCAGCACGUUAUGGUGGGGACUCAGUGGAGACCGCCGGGGUCAACUCGGAGGAAGGUGGGGAUGACGUCAAGUCAUCAUGCCCCUUAUGUCCAGGGCUUCACGCAUGCUACAAUGGCUGGUACAGAGAGUGGCGAGCCUGUGAGGGUGAGCGAAUCUCGGAAAGCCGGUCUCAGUUCGGAUUGGGGUCUGCAACUCGACCUCAUGAAGUCGGAGUCGCUAGUAAUCGCAGAUCAGCAACGCUGCGGUGAAUACGUUCCCGGG